AAGAAAUGAAGAAAAAGAAAAAAAAAGUGCAUACAUAUGUAUAUGUGGAUAUAUAUAAUUCUUGCAUUCGU
rnacentral:ribozyme from 12 species